rnacentral:snoRNA from 1 species
AAGACAUUACUCCUAGGGAUCACUCCUAUAGUAAGCAUCACCAGGACGUCAGUCAAAUCUGCUCCUGGCUACCCAACCGUGAUGACGACAUGUGUCGUCCGUUGGACCGUCAGCGUGAUUAGACUUCGGGUUGUCAGUAGGCGCAGCCACAACAACGGU